rnacentral:misc_RNA from 1 species
CAAUCCCUUCAAAUCAAUGGU